GGGGCAGGGGCUGUGGCCCCCGGGGGGUGCUGCUGGAUCCCCGGCGUGAAGUGAGCCCAGGACCCUCUGGGCUGCUCCAGGAGCCCCUGCUGGACCUGGCCUGUGGCUCUGAGGCCCGGGGGGGCCAGGGGCAAGAGAGGCCGAGCGAGCUGGUCAGCCUGGGCCAGCAUGGCCACACCCCCAUUUCCUAAGAAUCUCAAGGUGCCCCGUACCUUCCGGGGCUGACCCAGGGCAGCCAGCAAGCACGGGGCGGAGGCCGGACCCACAACCUGCCGGGGGCGGGGGAGGGCACCUGCUCAGUGGCGGUGCAGGGACCCACUCCAGGCCGUCUGAGCUCUGACUGUCCACGUAGGUGGUCUUGCGGUCUGUUUCCAGGUUUGAGUUUUACAUCUGUCCUUUUAACAAAUAGUGAUUUAUUAGGCUCCCCUGUACGCACACGCUGACCGCUGACCGUCAUGAGCACUGAGGACAAAAGCUGCGGAGGAGGCCCUCAGGGUGUGUCCCCUCACCCCAGAUGAGCCAGCCUGACGCCGUCCGACCCGUCCUGGGGUCACAUGGGUGACCUCACACUGUGCUGGCAGGCACCGUUGUCCCUGAAACAAUGACACAGGCCUCUCAUUCCAGAGCAUGGCAACAGGAACAGGUUCUCCAGGACCAGACGCAGUAGCCAACUCGAACCCUGGCAGGCGCAACGCGGGGCUCAGGUAUGAGGGAGGGGCCAGAGCUCACCGAACACCUGCCCCGCCCCCCAGAAUCAGGAGAACACUGACCCGUGAGGAGGCAGACCGGCGGCCGGCGCCCCCGCCGCCCCCCCCCCCCCGCUCUCCAUCAAAGCUGGAAGGUGGGCCUCUCUCCAAGCCCAGCAUGCUCCUAGGAAACAGGGUGCUGGCCUUCCUGCCUCCAGGGCUGAUCACUGGGCCGUCCAGUGCGCAUGCCUCCAGGGUGGGCGCUCACACCCACACGGGGCCCCCAGGGCGUCCGCCCCACGCAUGGAGGGAGGAGCCUGAGUUGUCCAAGGUGCUGGUCAGCGAGCCCUCCGACACCGCUGAUGGCGGCCAGCGGGCACAGCUGCCGCGGGGCCCGGCCCUGCCCUUCCUAGCUCGUGCACACCCCGGAGAGGUGAGAACACAGGAGUGCAGGAGCCGCUCACGGCCCCCACGUCCAUCAACAGGAGGAGGGAUGAACAAAACGUGGUCCAUCUGUGCGAUGGACAACGAUUCAGCUAGAGAAGUGGGGUGAGAGAGCCACCCCAGAAGGGCCUAUCACAGGCCACCUCCAGAGCAGGGUCUCGGACACGGAAAGUAGCUGAGCGGCUCCGGAGCCAGGGCGGGGGAGACCGUGGAAGAUACGACUUCUCCUGAGCUGAUGAAAACGUUCUGGAACUCGUUGUGGUGAUGCUUGCCCAGAUUGACGAACACACUAAAAAUCGUUGAGUUGUAUACUUGAAAUGAGACACGAUACGGCAUGCGGAUUACGUCUCAGUGAUGCUGUUGCAACAACAAAAAUCCCAGGCUGCUCACGCGGGCGCGGCCGUCCAUGCUCUCCAUCACCACGGCCUCCCUACGGUGGGCUGGGGGGGGAGCUGUGGGAGGCCAGCUGGGCUCGGGAGGGGGAC